ACGGGAGGCUGCAGUGAGGAAUAUUGGGCAAUGGAGGCAACUCUGACCCAGCCAUGCCGCGUGCAGGAUGACUGCCCUAUGGGUUGUAAACUGCUUUUAUACAGGAAGAAACCGUGGUACGUGUGCCACCUUGACGGUACUGUAAGAAUAAGGACCGGCUAACUCCGUGCCAGCAGCCGCGGUAAUACGGAGGGUCCGAGCGUUAUCCGGAAUCAUUGGGUUUAAAGGGUCCGCAGGCGGUCGAUUAAGUCAGAGGUGAAAUCCCAUAGCUCAACUAUGGAACUGCCUUUGAUACUGGUUGACUUGAGUUAUACGGAAGUAGAUAGAAUAAGUAGUGUAGCGGUGAAAUGCGUAGAUAU
rnacentral:rRNA from 1 species